CUUUCGAGUGAUGGUGUUUGUCUUCCCCAGUAACUAUUAUGUGUGAUAGGACCCUGUUCUCCUGGAAGUGGCUGAACACCUGCCUGCCCAUGGGAGAUGAUUCAGCUGUGAUAAUCCCCUGGGACAUUCACAUCAAGCCUGAAGGUAUUCGUCUCUUGUUGAUGAGUCAUAAUGGACCAUAAUGAACUCAUAAUGGACAUAAGAGACAGCUACAGCUGCAACAUCUUAGAAAGUGUCAAAGACUCCUGAAGUAUCCUGUGACUCACAGUAUUACAUCAUCCAGGCUUCCACCACUACCUUGACAGUUCCAGAUUGCAACCACCACUUGGACAGGUCUUCAAACACCACUUCGACCAAUGAACAUUGAAAUUGCAACAACCAAGUCUCAUCGUUGGA